rnacentral:rRNA from 1 species
AUGACUUAUGUGAUCAAUUCUAUUGAGGGGUUUUAUGCUUGCAAAGCAUCAAUAGAUCUUUUAUUAUACUUAUUCCCAAAAAGGUUGGGGCUUCUUGUGGCUUCUUGUGUCGAUGAUUAUAGACCCAUCUCUCUUUUGAGUUGCACUAUUAAGCUCCUAACUAAAUUGUUGGCUAGUAGGUUGCAAAAAAUGAUUACGGAGUCGAUCCAUGUUAAUCUAUACGGUUUUAUUAAAACCAGAACCAUACAAGAGUACAUUGCUUGGGUUUAUGAAUAUUCGUAUCAAUGUAACAAUAGUAAAAAAACAAAUGUGGCUUCGAAAGGCGUUGGACAAGGUUAA